GGCGUCGUAGACAAGCGGCUAAAGUCGCCGGGCUUUCAACCCGGAGUUCGCGGGUUCGAAUCCCGUCGGCGCUA
rnacentral:tRNA from 1 species